rnacentral:rRNA from 1 species
GGGAACGUGCCCUUCGGUUCGGAAUAACUCAGGGAAACUUGAGCUAAUACCGGAUACGCCCUUUUGGGGAAAGGCUUGACUGCCGAAGGAUCGGCCCGCGUCUGAUUAGCUGGUUGGUGAGGUUAUGGCUCACCAAGGCGACGAUCAGUAGCUGGUCUGAGAGGAUGAUCAGCCACACUGGGACUGAGACACGGCCCAGACUCCUACGGGAGGCAGCAGUGGGGAAUAUUGGACAAUGGGGGCAACCCUGAUCCAGCCAUGCCGCGUGAGUGAUGACGGCCUUAGGGUUGUAAAGCUCUUUUCUCCGGGACGAUAAUGACGGUACCGGAGGAAUAAGCCCCGGCUAACUUCGUGCCAGCAGCCGCGGUAAUACGAAGGGGGCUAGCGUUGCUCGGAAUCACUGGGCGUAAAGGGCGCGUAGGCGGCUGAUUUAGUCGAGGGUGAAAGCCCGUGGCUCAACCACGGAAUGGCCUUCGAUACUGGUUGGCUUGAGACCGGAAGAGGACAGCGGAACUGCGGGU